CGGCAACAGCUCAAAUUUGAAAUCUGGCCCCUCGGGGUCCGAGUUGUAAUUUGUAGAGGAUGCUUUUGGUGAGGUGCCGCCCGAGUUCCCUGGAACGGGACGCCACAGAGGGUGAGAGC
rnacentral:rRNA from 1 species